GAUGAACGCUGGCGGCGUGCCUAAUACAUGCAAGUCGAGCGAACGGACGAGAAGCUUGCUUCCCUGAUGUUAGCGGCGGACGGGUGAGGAACACGUGGAUAACCUACCUAUAAGACUGGGAUAACUUCGGGAAACCGGAGCUAAUACCGGAUAAUAUUGUGAGCCGGAUGGUUCAAAAGAGAAAGACGGUCUUGCUGUCACUUAUAGAUGUAUCCGCGCUGCAUUAGCUAGUUGGUAAGGUAACGGCUUACCAAGGCAACGAUGCAUAGCCGACCUGAGAGGGUGAUCAGCCACACUGGAACUGAGACACGGUCCAGACUCCUACGGGAGGCAGCAGUAGGGAAUCUUCCGCAAUGGGCGAAAGCCUGACGGAGCAACGCCGCGUGAGUGAUGAAGGUCUUCGGAUCGUAAAACUCUGUUAUUAGGGAAGAACAUAUGUGUAAGUAACUCUGCACAUCUUGACGGUACCUACUCAGAAAGCCCCGGCUAACUACGUG
rnacentral:rRNA from 1 species